GGUUAAGCGACUAAGCGUACACGGUGGAUGCCCUGGCAGUCAGAGGCGAUGAAGGACGUGCUAAUCUGCGAAAAGCGUCGGUAAGGUGAUAUGAACCGUUAUAGCCGGCGAUGUCCGAAUGGGGAAACCCAGUGUGAUUCGUCACACUAUCGUUAACUGAAUACAUAGGUUAACGAGGCGAACCGGGGGAACUGAAACAUCUAAGUACCCCGAGGAAAAGAAAUCAACCGAGAUUCCCCCAGUAGCGGCGAGCGAACGGGGAGCAGCCCAGAGUCUGAAUCAGCUUGUGUGUUAGUGGAACGGUCUGGAAAGUCCGACGGUACAGGGUGAUAGUCCCGUACACCAAAAUGCACAGGCUGUGAACUCGAAGAGUAGGGCGGGACACGUGGUAUCCUGUCUGAAUAUGGGGGGACCAUCCUCCAAGGCUAAAUACUCCUGACUGACCGAUAGUGAACCAGUACCGUGAGGGAAAGGCGAAAAGAACCCCGGCGAGGGGAGUGAAAAAGAACCUGAAACCGUGUACGUACAAGCAGUGGGAGCACCUUCGGGUGUGACUGCGUACCUUUUGUAUAAUGGGUCAGCGACUUAUAUUCUGUAGCAAGGUUAACCGUAUAGGGGAGCCGCAGGGAAACCGAGUCUUAACUGGGCGUUAAGUUGCAGGGUAUAGACCCGAAACCCGGUGAUCUAGCCAUGGGCAGGUUGAAGGUUGGGUAACACUAACUGGAGGACCGAACCGACUAAUGUUGAAAAAUUAGCGGAUGACUUGUGGCUGGGGGUGAAAGGCCAAUCAAACCGGGAGAUAGCUGGUUCUCCCCGAAAGCUAUUUAGGUAGCGCCUCGUGAAUUCAUCUUCGGGGGUAGAGCACUGUUUCGGCUAGGGGGUCAUCCCGACUUACCAACCCGAUGCAAACUACGAAUACCGAAGAAUGUUAUCACGGGAGACACACGGCGGGUGCUAACGUCCGUCGUGAAGAGGGAAACAACCCAGACCGCCAGCUAAGGUCCCAAAGUCAUGGUUAAGUGGGAAACGAUGUGGGAAGGCACAGACAGCCAGGAUGUUGGCUUAGAAGCAGCCAUCAUUUAAAGAAAGCGUAAUAGCUCACUGGUCGAGUCGGCCUGCGCGGAAGAUGUAACGGGGCUAAACCAUGCACCGAAGCUGCGGCAGCGACACUAUGUGUUGUUGGGUAGGGGAGCGUUCUGUAAGCCUGCGAAGGUGACCUGUGAGGGUUGCUGGAGGUAUCAGAAGUGCGAAUGCUGACAUAAGUAACGAUAAAGCGGGUGAAAAGCCCGCUCGCCGGAAGACCAAGGGUUCCUGUCCAACGUUAAUCGGGGCAGGGUGAGUCGACCCCUAAGGCGAGGCCGAAAGGCGUAGUCGAUGGGAAACAGGUUAAUAUUCCUGUACUUGGUGUUACUGCGAAGGGGGGACGGAGAAGGCUAUGUUAGCCGGGCGACGGUUGUCCCGGUUUAAGCAUGUAGGCUGGUUGUCCAGGCAAAUCCGGAUAAUCAAGGCUGAGGUGUGAUGACGAGGCACUACGGUGCUGAAGUAACAAAUGCCCUGCUUCCAGGAAAAGCCUCUAAGCAUCAGGUAACAUUAAAUCGUACCCCAAACCGACACAGGUGGUCAGGUAGAGAAUACCAAGGCGCUUGAGAGAACUCGGGUGAAGGAACUAGGCAAAAUGGUGCCGUAACUUCGGGAGAAGGCACGCUGGUGUGUAGGUGAAGCCCCUGCGGGUGGAGCUGAGACCAGUCGAAGAUACCAGCUGGCUGCAACUGUUUAUUAAAAACACAGCACUGUGCAAACACGAAAGUGGACGUAUACGGUGUGACGCCUGCCCGGUGCCGGAAGGUUAAUUGAUGGGGUUAUCCGUAAGGAGAAGCUCUUGAUCGAAGCCCCGGUAAACGGCGGCCGUAACUAUAACGGUCCUAAGGUAGCGAAAUUCCUUGUCGGGUAAGUUCCGACCUGCACGAAUGGCGUAAUGAUGGCCAGGCUGUCUCCACCCGAGACUCAGUGAAAUUGAACUCGCUGUGAAGAUGCAGUGUACCCGCGGCAAGACGGAAAGACCCCGUGAACCUUUACUAUAGCUUGACACUGAACAUUGAGCCUUGAUGUGUAGGAUAGGUGGGAGGCUUUGAAGCGUGGACGCCAGUCUGCGUGGAGCCAACCUUGAAAUACCACCCUUUAAUGUUUGAUGUUCUAACGUUGGCCCCUUACCGGGGUUGCGGACAGUGUCUGGUGGGUAGUUUGACUGGGGCGGUCUCCUCCCAAAGCGUAACGGAGGAGCACGAAGGUUAGCUAAUCCUGGUCGGACAUCAGGAGGUUAGUGCAAUGGCAUAAGCUAGCUUGACUGCGAGCGUGACGGCGCGAGCAGGUGCGAAAGCAGGUCAUAGUGAUCCGGUGGUUCUGAAUGGAAGGGCCAUCGCUCAACGGAUAAAAGGUACUCCGGGGAUAACAGGCUGAUACCGCCCAAGAGUUCAUAUCGACGGCGGUGUUUGGCACCUCGAUGUCGGCUCAUCACAUCCUGGGGCUGAAGUAGGUCCCAAGGGUAUGGCUGUUCGCCAUUUAAAGUGGUACGCGAGCUGGGUUUAGAACGUCGUGAGACAGUUCGGUCCCUAUCUGCCGUGGGCGCUGGAGAAUUGAGGGGGGCUGCUCCUAGUACGAGAGGACCGGAGUGGACGCAUCACUGGUGUUCGGGUUGUCAUGCCAAUGGCACUGCCCGGUAGCUAAAUGCGGAAGAGAUAAGUGCUGAAAGCAUCUAAGCACGAAACUUGCCCCGAGAUGAGUUCUCCCUGAGACUUUAAGUCUCCUGAAGGAACGUUGAAGACGACGACGUUGAUAGGCCGGGUGUGUAAGCGCAGCGAUGCGUUGAGCUAACCGGUACUAAUGAACCGUGAGGCUUAACCUU
rnacentral:rRNA from 1 species